UCAAUACCUUUGGAUCCUCAAUAAAACUUCUGAGCCAAGCUAGUGUAAGUCAGUAGAUCGAGGGAAUAUGGAAACUCCCAUACUUACUUCUUAAUUAGCCAUCCAGUCAUGAAAUUUUUCUUUCCUAAAAUCAAUCUUGCGGUUGGUAUCGCCAUGCAUGUGGCAUGAAGGAUUGAGGAUGGAGGAGACUGAGGUAGAGGAGCGCUAGGCAUAGGCUCAUUGUGCGUGGGCACAUCAUUUUGGAUUUUUGUCCUUUGCUCGGC
rnacentral:lncRNA from 1 species